GACGAACGCUGGCGGCGUGCCUAAUACAUGCAAGUCGAGCGGAGUCAAUGAGAAGCUUGCUUCUCUGAGACUUAGCGGCGGACGGGUGAGUAACACGUAGGUAACCUGCCCAUAAGACUGGGAUAACUACCGGAAACGGUAGCUAAUACCGGAUAGGUUCUUCUCUCGCAUGGGAGGAGAAAGAAAGACGGAGCAAUCUGUCACUUAUGGAUGGACCUGCGGCGCAUUAGCUAGUUGGUGAGGUAACGGCUCACCAAGGCGACGAUGCGUAGCCGACCUGAGAGGGUGAUCGGCCACACUGGGACUGAGACACGGCCCAGACUCCUACGGGAGGCAGCAGUAGGGAAUCUUCCGCAAUGGGCGAAAGCCUGACGGAGCAACGCCGCGUGAGUGAUGAAGGUUUUCGGAUCGUAAAGCUCUGUUGCCAGGGAAGAACGUCUCUUAGAGUAACUGCUAAGAGAGUGACGGUACCUGAGAAGAAAGCCCCGGCUAACUACGUGCCAGCCGCCGCC
rnacentral:rRNA from 1 species